rnacentral:rRNA from 1 species
CGUAACGCGUAUGCAACCUGCCUGACACAGGGGGGAUAAUCCGAAGAAAUUUGGUCUAAUACCCCAUAAUACCGAUAUAGGCAUCUAUGUUGGUUGAAAGCUUUGGUGGUGUCAGAUGGGCAUGCGUUGUAUUAGCUAGUUGGUGAGGUAACGGCUCACCAAGGCGACGAUACAUAGGGGGACUGAGAGGUUAACCCCCCCACACUGGUACUGAGACACGGACCAGACUCCUACGGGGAGGCAGCAUG